rnacentral:rRNA from 1 species
UACGUAGGGGGCAAGCGUUGUCCGGAAUCAUUGGGCGUAAAGAGCGCGUAGGCGGCCCAGUCAGUCCGCUCUGAAAGUCAGGGGCUCAACCCCUGAAUGCGGGUGGAUACUGCUGGGCUAGAGUCCGGAAGAGGCGAGUGGAAUUCCUGGUGUAGCGGUGAAAUGCGCAGAUAUCAGGAGGAACACCGGUGGCGAAGGCGGCACUCUGGGCCGGUACUGACGCUGAGGAGCGAAAGCGUGGGGAGCGAACAGG